AAACACAGAUCAAAACAUUGACAAGUUUUCGAAACUUUAUAUAGUAAAAAGUUUAUUUCGUAUUUUGGUCGAAAAAGGCAAAUGUUUUAGUCACAUAAAUUACUGUAUAUGGCUGGUAGAUGUUUUCAAUGUGCAGAACAAUUUGGCUACUUUAAACGUGAGGUAAUUAUUACUGUAUUAAAACUAGACAUAUUUUAUAUUACAAUUAUAACUUGUAAUAGUUAUUAUGUAUUAACUAAUUUAUUGUUCUGGGAACUUUAUUGAUACAAAAUUAUUUUGAAAUAUUUUGGUAGCAUGACUGUGAAAACUGUGGCAAAAUUUUUUGUUCAAAAUGCACAUCAAAGUCCAUAGUCAUUCCAAGUAAAGGAAAGAAAGCUGUCAGAGUUUGCAAUGAUUGCUAUGAAAAACUGACCACCCAGGCCAGGUGCGUAUGAUGUAAAUGAUUUUAAUAGUAAUAGGCCAUUUCCGAAUUUGCACUCUAGUUGUCAAGAACAAUGAAACCAUGCCGAGGCUUCAUACUAAAUUCUUAUAGAAUAUACACUUCUGGAAAGCACAUCACCUUGGGUAUAGAACCUUGUUUUCGUGAUUGAGAUGCUGGGCUUUAAGUUGCGUUUUGAACAAUUCUACGUCAGAUUUUACUGAUUUGUAACCC